rnacentral:rRNA from 1 species
UACGAGGGGUGCAAGCGUUGCUCGGAAUUAUUGGGCGUAAAGGGUAGGUAGGUGGUCUCAUUUGUCUGGGGUGAAAGCCUUGAGCUUAACUCAAGAAGUGCCCUAGAAACGGCGAGACUAGAGUCCUGGAGAGGGUCGUGGAAUUCCCGGUGUAGCGGUGAAAUGCGUAGAGAUCGGGAGGAACACCAGAGGCGAAGGCGGCGACCUGGACAGGUACUGACACUCAACUACGAAAGCGUGGGGAGCAAACAGG